UGCUGCUUUGUUUCGUUCCCAGGCCCGCUGUGAUGGACGGCUGCAGCUGCCCGCCUCGCUCCGCCGUGGGCCUCUGUGAAGGCAAAAAGACAUUGGGCCUGCUGGAGACCUGAUGAGAUGGCUGUAGCCAGCAGUGGAUCAGCUGUGUGAUGAAGGCAGUCGUCCUGGCUUGCACUGCCAUGCAUGAACCUGUAACAGGCCUCUGUGAAGGCAGAGGGACGUUGGGCCUGCUGGAGACCUGAUGAGAUGGCUGUAGCCAGCAGUGGAUCAGUUGUGUGACAACUGCAGUUGCCCUUGGCUUUCUCUGCUCUGCGUUUCCACUUUUGAUAGAGGAGCAAAGGUUGAGUAGAUCACUCAGAAGGCCUGAGGAUUUGCUGUUAUUUCACAGUACUAGGCGAAAGCUGUCUUCUGCUAGUGAUGUUUCUCUCCAUGCUGCUGCCUGUGAUCCUUGUCCACACUACAGCAUCCAUAUCACUGAAACAACUCUUUUUCCCUUGGUCUUGCCAAAUAACAGAUGGCAGGUGUUGUGGUUUUUUUUCCUUCAUAUGAUGUAUUUAAUCACAAUGGAUUCUGGAAUUUGCUGCAUGUUUUACGUAAUUGGAUGAUUUUUGUCCGCAAAGGCUGUGUUCACCACAUGACAACUAAUGUUGCUUGACAUUAAAGGAAGCCUGAAAAAGCUGUUGUCAUAUAUGAUGGUCUUGUAUGCAAGGAGAAUUUUGUUUAAUAAAAUCUGUGUACUGUAUGAACUCA
rnacentral:lncRNA from 1 species